rnacentral:rRNA from 1 species
AGUGGGGAAUAUUGCACAAUGGGGGAAACCCUGAUGCAGCCAUGCCGCGUGUGUGAAGAAGGCCUUCGGGUUGUAAAGCACUUUCAGCGAGGAGGAAAGGGUAGCGGCUAAUAUCCGCUACCUGUGACGUUACUCGCAGAAGAAGCACCGGCUAACUCCGUGCCAGCAGCCGCGGUAAUACGGAGGGUGCAAGCGUUAAUCGGAAUUACUGGGCGUAAAGCGCACGCAGGCGGUUGGAUAAGUUAGAUGUGAAAGCCCCGGGCUCAACCUGGGAAUUGCAUUUAAAACUGUCCAGCUAGAGUCUUGUAGAGGGGGGUAGAAUUCCAGGUGUAGCGGUGAAAUGCGUAGAGAUCUGGAGGAAUACCGGUGGCGAAGGCGGCCCCCUGGACAAAGACUGACGCUCAGGUGCGAAAGCGUGGGGAGCAAA